rnacentral:rRNA from 1 species
CCUUCGGACUGGCCCAGGGAGGUCGGCAACGACCACCCAGGGCCGGAAAGUUGGUCAAACUCGGUCAUUUAGAGGAAGUAAAAGUCGUAACAAGGUCUCCGUAGGUGAACCUGCGGAGGGAUCAUU